rnacentral:ncRNA from 1 species
UCCAGGGGAGCGAAAGCUGAGAGUCCGGAUGAAAAGAUCCGGUGACCCUCAUUACCUGAUCCGGAUAAUGCCGGCGAAGGAAGCGAGAGAAAA